rnacentral:rRNA from 1 species
CUACGGGUGGCUCCAGUGAGGAAUAUUGCACAAUGGGGGGAACCCUGAUGCAGCAACGCCGCGUGGAGGAUGACGCAUUUCGGUGUGUAAACUCCUUUUAUAUGUCAAGAAAAUGACGGUAGCAUAUGAAUAAGCACCGGCUAACUCCGUGCCAGCAGCCGCGGUAAUACGGAGGGUGCAAGCGUUACUAGGAAUCACUGGGCGUAAAGGACGCGUAGGCGGGUUGGAAAGUCAGGUGUGAAAUCCUACAGCGUAACUGUAGAACUGCACUUGAAACUUCUAAUCUAGAGUAUGGGAGGGGGAGAUGGAAUUUGUGGUGUAGGGGUAAAAUCCGUAGAUAUCACUAGGAAUACCUAAAGCGAAGGCGAUCUCCUGGAACAUUACUGACGCUAAGGCGUGAAAGCGUGGGGAGCAAACAGGAUUAGAUACCCCUGUAGUC